rnacentral:piRNA from 1 species
UGGUGUCUCAAAAUCGUCCUUGAGG